rnacentral:rRNA from 1 species
AUUGAACGCUGGCGGCAGGCCUAACACAUGCAAGUCGAGCGAGCGGCGGACGGGUGAGUAAUGUAUGGGGAUCUGCCUGAUGGCGGGGGAUAACUACUGGAAACGGUAGCUAAUACCGCAUACCAUCAGAUGAACCCAUAUGGGAUUAGCUUGUAGGUGAGUUAACGGCUCACCUGGGCGACGAUCCCUAGCUGGUCUGAGAGGAUGAUCAGCAACACUGGGACUGAGACACGGCCCAGACUCCUACGGGAGGCAGCGGUGGGGAAUAUUGCACAAUGGGCGCGGGCCUGAUGCGGCCAUGCCGCGUGUAUGAGGAGGGCCUUCGGGUUGUAAAGUACUUUCAGUCGGUAGGCGUUACCGACAGAAGAAGCACCGGCUAACUCCGUGCCAGCCGCCGCGGUAAUAC